UGCGCAGGUGGCCAGGUGUGUGAGGCGUGAAAGCCCGGAGCUCAACUCCGGAAUUGCACCUCAAACUACAUGGCUAGAGCAUUGGAGAGGGGAGCAGAAUUCACGGUGUAACAGUGAAAUGCGUAGAUAUCGUGAGGAAUACCAGAGGCGAAGGCGGCUCCCUGGACAAUUGCUGACACUCAGGCACGAAAGCGUGGGGAGCAAAAGGGAUUAGAUACCCCUGUAGUCCACGCCCUAAACGGUGCACACUAGGUCUUGGAGGAUUCGACCCCUUCAGGGCCCAAGCUAACGCGUUAAGUGUGCCGCCUGAGGACUACGGCCGCAAGGCUAAA
rnacentral:rRNA from 1 species